rnacentral:rRNA from 1 species
CGGGACACGUGGUAUCCUGUCUGAAUAUGGGGGGACCAUCCUCCAAGGCUAAAUACUCCUGACUGACCGAUAGUGAACCAGUACCGUGAGGGAAAGGCGAAAAGAACCCCGGCGAGGGGAGUGAAAAAGAACCUGAAACCGUGUACGUACAAGCAGUGGGAGCACGCUUAGGCGUGUGACUGCGUACCUUUUGUAUAAUGGGUCAGCGACUUAUAUUCUGUAGCAAGGUUAACCGAAUAGGGGAGCCGAAGGGAAACCGAGUCUUAACUGGGCGUUAAGUUGCAGGGUAUAGACCCGAAACCCGGUGAUCUAGCCAUGGGCAGGUUGAAGGUUGGGUAACACUAACUGGAGGACCGAACCGACUAAUGUUGAAAAAUUAGCGGAUGACUUGUGGCUGGGGGUGAAAGGCCAAUCAAACCGGGAGAUAGCUGGUUCUCCCCGAAAGCUAUUUAGGUAGCGCCUCGUGAAUUCAUCUCCGGGGGUAGAGCACUGUUUCGGCAAGGGGGUCAUCCCGACUUACCAACCCGAUGCAAACUGCGAAUACCGGAGAAUGUUAUCACGGGAGACACACGGCGGGUGCUAACGUCCGUCGUGAAGAGGGAAACAACCCAGACCGCCAGCUAAGGUCCCAAAGUCAUGGUUAAGUGGGAAACGAUGUGGGAAGGCCCAGACAGCCAGGAUGUUGGCUUAGAAGCAGCCAUCAUUUAAAGAAAGCGUAAUAGCUCACUGGUCGAGUCGGCCUGCGCGGAAGAUGUAACGGGGCUAAACCAUGCACCGAAGCUGCGGCAGCGACGCUGAUGCGUUGUUGGGUAGGGGAGCGUUCUGUAAGCCUGUGAAGGUGUGCUGUGAGGCAUGCUGGAGGUAUCAGAAGUGCGAAUGCUGACAUAAGUAACGAUAAAGCGGGUGAAAAGCCCGCUCGCCGGAAGACCAAGGGUUCCUGUCCAACGUUAAUCGGGGCAGGGUGAGUCGACCCCUAAGGCGAGGCCGAAAGGCGUAGUCGAUGGGAAACAGGUUAAUAUUCCUGUACUUGGUGUUACUGCGAAGGGGGGACGGAGAAGGCUAUGUUGGCCGGGCGACGGUUGUCCCGGUUUAAGCGUGUAGGCUGGUUUUCCAGGCAAAUCCGGAAAAUCAAGGCUGAGGCGUGAUGACGAGGCACUACGGUGCUGAAGCAACAAAUGCCCUGCUUCCAGGAAAAGCCUCUAAGCAUCAGGUAACAUCAAAUCGUACCCCAAACCGACACAGGUGGUCAGGUAGAGAAUACCAAGGCGCUUGAGAGAACUCGGGUGAAGGAACUAGGCAAAAUGGUGCCGUAACUUCGGGAGAAGGCACGCUGAUAUGUAGGUGAAGCGACUUGCUCGUGGAGCUGAAAUCAGUCGAAGAUACCAGCUGGCUGC